rnacentral:rRNA from 1 species
UACGUAGGGUGCGAGCGUUAAUCGGAAUUACUGGGCGUAAAGCGUGCGCAGGCGGCUUCGCAAGUCAGGCGUGAAAUCCCCGGGCUUAACCUGGGAAUGGCGUCUGAAACUACGGAGCUGGAGUGUGGCAGAGGGAGGUAGAAUUCCACGUGUAGCGGUGAAAUGCGUAGAUAUGGGGAGGAACACCGGUGGCGAAGGCGGCCACCUGGACGGAUACUGACGCUGAGACGAGAAAGCGUGGGGAGCAAACAGG